rnacentral:rRNA from 1 species
UACGAAGGGUGCAAGCGUUAGUCGGAAUUACUGGGCGUAAAGCGUGCGUAGGUGGCCUCUUAAGUUUGUUGUGAAAGCCCUGGGCUCAACCUGGGGACUGCAGUGGAUACUGAGAAGCUAGAGUGUGUCAGAGGAUGGUGGAAUUCCCGGUGUAGCGGUGAAAUGCGUAGAGAUCGGGAGGAACAUCAGUGGCGAAGGCGGCCAUCUGGGACA